GAUCCUGGCUCAGGAUGAACGCUGGCGGCGUGCCUAACACAUGCAAGUCGAACGGGUUAAGGGAAAUUUCGGAUGGAACUUAACUAGUGGCGGACGGGUGAGUAACGCGUGGAUAACCUGCCUCACACAGGGGGAUAGCAGCUGGAAACGGCUGGUAAUACCGCAUAAGACCACGGAGCCGCAUGGCUUUGAGGUAAAAGAUUUAUCGGUGUGAGAUGGAUCCGCGUCUGAUUAGCCAGUUGGCGGGGUAACGGCCCACCAAAGCGACGAUCAGUAGCCGGCCUGAGAGGGUGAACGGCCACAUUGGGACUGAGACACGGCCCAAACUCCUACGGGAGGCAGCAGUGGGGAAUAUUGCACAAUGGGCGCAAGCCUGAUGCAGCAACGCCCGCGUGAGUGAAGAAGUAUUUCGGUAUGUAAAGCUCUAUCGGCAGGGAAGAAAGGCCCGAAAGGGAGAUGACGGUACCUGACUAAGAAGCCCCGGCUAACUACGUGCCAGCCGCAGC
rnacentral:rRNA from 1 species